rnacentral:rRNA from 1 species
GACGAACGCUGGCGGCGUGCCUAAUACAUGCAAGUAGGACGCAGUUGCGAACGGGGGAGUAAAGCGUAGGUAACUGCCUAGUAGAGGGGGAUAACUAUUGGAAACGAUAGCUAAUACCGCAUACUAGUAGAUGGACCUGCGUUGUAUUAGCUAGUAGGUAGGGUAAUGGCCUACCUAGGCGACGAUACAUAGCCGACCUGGGAGGUUGAGCGGCCACCCUGUGACUGGGACACGGCCCAGACUCCUACGGGAGGCAUCAGUAGGGAAGCUUCGGCAAUGGGGGGAACCCUGACCGAGCACCGCCGCGUGAGUGAAGAAGGUUUUCGGAUCCUAAAGCUCUGUUGUUAAGGAAGCGGUACUUAACCAGAAAGGGACGGCUAACUACGUGCCAGCCGCCGCGGUAAUAC